ACUCCUACGGGAGGCAGCAGUAGGGAAUCUUCCACAAUGGGCGCAAGCCUGAUGGAGCAACACCGCGUGAGUGAAGAAGGGUUUCGGCUCGUAAAGCUCUGUUGUUAAAGAAGAACACGUAUGAGAGUAACUGUUCAUACGUUGACGGUAUUUAACCAGAAAGUCACGGCUAACUACGUGCCAGCAGCCGCGGUAAUACGUAGGUGGCAAGCGUUAUCCGGAUUUAUUGGGCGUAAAGAGAGUGCAGGCGGUUUUCUAAGUCUGAUGUGAAAGCCUUCGGCUUAACCGGAGAAGUGCAUCGGAAACUGGAUAACUUGAGUGCAGAAGAGGGUAGUGGAACUCCAUGUGUAGCGGUGGAAUGCGUAGAUAUAUGGAAGAACACCAGUGGCGAAGGCGGCUACCUGGUCUGCAACUGACGCUGAGACUCGAAAGCAUGGGUAGCGAACAGGAUUAGAUACCCUGGUAGCGAGUAG
rnacentral:rRNA from 1 species